AUACGGAGGAUCCGAGCGUUAUCCGGAUUUAUUGGGUUUAAAGGGUGCGCAGGCGGCCAUUUAAGUCAGCGGUUAAAUCGUGGGGCUCAACCCCAUUCUGCCGUUGAUACUGGGUGGCUUGAUUGCGGUCGAGGUUGGCGGAAUUCGUUGUGUAGCGGUGAAAUGCAUAGAUAUGAAGAAGAACACCGAGUGCGUAGGCAGCUGGCCAGACCGCAAAUGACGCUCAUGCACGAAAGUGCGGGGAUCGAACAGGAUUAGAUACGCUGGUAGUCCGCACAGUAAACGAUGAAUACUUGUUUUCGGCGAUAUAAUGUCGGAGGCAAAGCGAAAGCGAUAAGUAGUCCGCCUGGGGAGUACGACCGCAAGGUUGAAACUCAAAGGAAUUGGCGGGG
rnacentral:rRNA from 1 species